rnacentral:SRP_RNA from 2 species
GCUGGGCAUGGUGAUGGGUGCCUGUAGUCCCAGCUACUUGGGAGGCUGAGGCAGGAGGAUUGCUUGAACCUGGGAGGUCAAGGCCUCAGUGAGCUGAGAUUGUGCCACUGCACUCCAGCCUAGGUGACAAAGUGAGACCCUGUCUCAA